UAAUCCUUUUCGGCGAAUGCCAUGUCACUUUAUGCUCUUCUUGGACGAUGACGUGAUGGCUCAGUGAGCCACAGAAGACAAUGCCCACUUCUCCACUGGGGCAGCGAUUACCUCCAAUAACUCAUGACCCUGUCAAACCUUUGGCAAGAGUUAUCUAUGCAGGUGAAUGUGGGCAGAAGACAUUCUUGGCCAUGAGACAAGGCAGAAAUGGAUGCCAGCAGCAGCUGGGGUCACUUUGUGAAGUUCUGAGAAACCGAAGGCCAGGCCAACUCCAUUCCAGUUAAACUGCGGGGACUACAUUUGAAGCAUUACAUAUGACUGCUGAAGUCUGUGUCCAGGGACAACGAAGCG